GGGUUGUGAGGUUAAGCGACUAAGCGUACACGGUGGAUGCCCUGGCAGUCAGAGGCGAUGAAGGGCGUGCUAAUCUGCGAUAAGCGCCGGUAAGGUGAUAUGAACCGUUAUAACCGGCGAUACCCGAAUGGGGAAACCCAGUGUGAUUCGUCACACUAUCAUUAACUGAAUCCAUAGGUUAAUGAGGCGAACCGGGGGAACUGAAACAUCUAAGUACCCCGAGGAAAAGAAAUCAACCGAGAUUCCCCCAGUAGCGGCGAGCGAACGGGGAGGAGCCCAGAGCCUGAAUCAGCAUGUGUGUUAGUGGAAGCGUCUGGAAAGGCGCGCGAUACAGGGUGACAGCCCCGUACACAAAAGCGCAUGUGCUGUGAGCUCGAUGAGUAGGGCGGGACACGUGGUAUCCUGUCUGAAUAUGGGGGGACCAUCCUCCAAGGCUAAAUACUCCUGACUGACCGAUAGUGAACCAGUACCGUGAGGGAAAGGCGAAAAGAACCCCGGCGAGGGGAGUGAAAAAGAACCUGAAACCGUGUACGUACAAGCAGUGGGAGCCCCACCACCAAAGCAUUUGCUGUACCGCGUUGACGGAGCGAAGCGACGUCAAACCGAUAAAA
rnacentral:rRNA from 1 species